GAGAACGGCGGGCGUGUCGCCGCGGUAAUACGGAUGGGGCAAGGUGUGUCAGUAGUGAGUGUGCGUAAAGGGCGUGUAUGCGGCCAGGUUGGUCUGCUGUGAAAACGCGAGGCUCAACAUGGAGCGGUCGUCGGAAACCCCCUGGCUAGAGUCCGGAAGAGGAGAGUUGAAUUCCCGGGGUAGCGGUGAAAUGCGCAGAUAUCGGGGAGAACACCCGUGGCGAAGGCGGCUCUCUGGGACGGUACUGACGCUGAGACGCGAAAGCGUGGGGAGCGAACAGGAUUAGAUACCCGAGUAGUC
rnacentral:rRNA from 1 species